UAUUGAAUGGGCUUUGUUAUUAAUGUCCCAACAGCCAUUUGACUGUGGGUAUUGAUAACCCUUAGUCUGCAUCCCCCAAGUUCAGAGUAAACAACCUGAAAAUGAUGUCUUCUGAAGGGGUUGUCUUGAUAAGCACUUACUAUGUGCCAGGCACUGUUCCAAGUAUGUGCAGGCUCAGGUUCCUUGAGCCUUCAUGACAACUCAUGACACCAACAUUACUACUAUCCCAAAGAUAAAGAAGGUAACUCACUUGCACACAGCUUGCUGGUGACAAAACCAGAUUGAAGCUCAGGAGUGGUUGUUCCAGAGCCACCAUGACUCCUAUCCAUCAUUGUGCUGCAUGGAGAAGUACAAGUAUAUUUGGGAUCAAAGGGUAAAACUCUCAGUCCCUCCAUUCUCUCCCUCAUCUUGUUCUGGGAGUUGGAGAGAGGAAUUGAGAAAAGCGGGGCAGCCCCAUUUGGGUCAAAUCCUUCUCUGGGAACAGCUUGGGGAUCCUGCUCCUAGGAAGGUGAAGGGUUCUCUGAUUGUACACAACACUCUGAUGUCCUCUUGCUUAUAGUCAGCUGGUACUGGCAGCCAUGAAGGUGACACUCCUAGUAGGGGAACUCUCAGAAGGAUGAGGGUGACACUCUCCCAUGCCUUUCAUGAACAACCCACCACCAUGUUCUUGGUCAGGGCUCACUAUCCUCCUACAGAGCCCCUCAAUUCAAGUCCUUAUGCUCCAAGGCCCAGGUUGCUGUGAGUUACUUGAGUAGACCCUGGUCCACACCCUAUGCCAUCCUCACUAGGUAGUGUGUUCUUGGGCAACUGACUUUGCCUCUUGGAAAUUGAGCUUCUUCUACUUUGGUUUCUACUGUUUUUCCCUCCAGUGCUAGGGAUUGAACUCAGAACCUUGCACAUGCUCAGUAAACACUCUACCACUGAGCUACCCCCUCAGCCCCAGCUUCCACUUCUUUGGAAAAAGAACAAGUCUUGGUACCCAAGGGAUGAGAGGGUUAAGUGAGAUAAUACUUUGCUGAGCACUUGGCAAGAAUUUGUUUCCUUUCCCAGAAAGAAGUGACCAUCUCUAGCCAAGUCUGCCUCACUUUUCUACAUCAGGCAGGAGAGCCAGGGGUCUCAAAACCAUGUCCCAAGACAACUCAGGAGAUGUUUAAUUGGGAGGACUUAAGGACCCACAAUCAUAUGCAUAGUCCAAUGCUUUGCUCCAUGGAAGAGAUGCAAAGGUCAAAUAUGAAACUGGCUAGGGAUAUAGCUCAAUGGUAGAACACUUGCCUAGCAUGUGGAGAUCUGGGGUUUGAUCCCUUUCACCUCCAAAACAAUCAAAUGUGAAGCUGAAGAGGCUGAUGCUGACCACCACUCGAGCUGCUUUCUCACCAGGACAGCUGCCUAAAUGCAGGUAGGGAAGGCUGUCAAUGGGAAAGGAUGGGAUUUGGAGAUAUGCAUGCCCCUCCAGGGUGUAUUGGGGACUGCUUUUUAGGAUAUGGUCCUCAAAUGUGGGACUAGAGCUGGUCCAAAGAACCUGGAAGGACCCUUCUACGUCUGAGAGUUUGAGAUUCCAGGACCAGUCACUCCUCUGCUCAAGAACCUGCAGUGGCUCCCUAAAGCUUCUUACAUCAAGUCCUACCCUCAGGCUGCCUCAUCACUGCUGCUUUCCUAUGGCUUAGACCUCAGUCCUUCCCCUAUGUAGUCUUCCUCAAAAUUCUCAGUAUACUCAAUUCCAAAAUCCUUAGAUGCCAGCUGCACAGUCCUUGC
rnacentral:lncRNA from 1 species